rnacentral:lncRNA from 1 species
UUUUUCUAGCUACACCUCAAUUCUUAGUCUGUUUUUAUCUUUUGUAUAUUUUUUUUAUUUAUUAUUUAUUUAUUAUUGUUUUAUCUAUUUAUUUUGUUCUUUCUUUUAUUUCCUUUAGUUUUUUUUUAAAUUCUUUUACCUCUUGUAUUGGUAGUGUGCCCCUCCCUUUUAUUAUUUAUUUUACCUUUUUUAUUAUUUUAUUUUAUAUUUUAUUUUAUUAUAUUUUUAGUUGAUGCAUAAUUAUUAAUCCAAAAAGACAAAAUGAUUAUUAAAAUUAACCAUUCAAAAAUACUAAAAUCAAAGGUGUUUGAUCAACAUCAAGUAUAUUUUUCAAAAUGAUUUUCAAAUCCCUUUCCGUUUCAAGUGCAAAUUAAAACCUCAAUUUAUAUCGGGUAUUUUAUCCAAAUUAACUAAGAUACUUAAUUAUACUUAAAACACCAUUUCAU